CCUACGGGUGGCAGCAGUGGGGAAUAUUGCACAAUGGGCGCAAGCCUGAUGCAGCCAUGCCGCGUGUGUGAAGAAGGCCUUCGGAUUGUAAAGCACUUUCAGCGGGGAGGAAGGGGGUGAGGUUAAUAACCUCAUCGAUUGACGUUACCCGCAGAAGAAGCACCGGCUAACUCCGUGCCAGCAGCCGCGGUAAUACGGAGGGUGCAAGCGUUAAUCGGAAUUACUGGGCGUAAAGCGCACGCAGGCGGUCUGUCAAGUCGGAUGUGAAAUCCCCGGGCUCAACCUGGGAACUGCAUUCGAAACUGGCAGGCUAGAGUCUUGUAGAGGGGGGUAGAAUUCCAGGUGUAGCGGUGAAAUGCGUAGAGAUCUGGAGGAAUACCGGUGGCGAAGGCGGCCCCCUGGACAAAGACUGACGCUCAGGUGCGAAAGCGUGGGGAGCAAACAGGAUUAGAUACCCGAGUAGUC
rnacentral:rRNA from 1 species